CCUACGGGUGGCUGCAGUGGGGAAUAUUGGACAAUGGGCGAAAGCCUGAUCCAGCCAUGCCGCGUGUGUGAAGAAGGCCUUCGGGUUGUAAAGCAUUUUCAGUGGGGAAGAAAGCCUUGGGGCUAAUACCCUCGAGGAAGGACAUCACCCACAGAAGAAGCACCGGCUAACUCCGUGCCAGCAGCCGCGGUAAUACGGAGGGUGCGAGCGUUAAUCGGAAUUACUGGGCGUAAAGCGCGCGUAGGCGGUCUGAUAAGCCGGUUGUGAAAGCCCCGGGCUCAACCUGGGAACGGCAUCCGGAACUGUCAGGCUAGAGUGCAGGAGAGGAAGGUAGAAUUCCCGGUGUAGCGGUGAAAUGCGUAGAGAUCGGGAGGAAUACCAGUGGCGAAGGCGGCCUUCUGGACUGACACUGACGCUGAGGUGCGAAAGCGUGGGUAGCAAACAGGAUUAGAUACCCCGGUAGUC
rnacentral:rRNA from 1 species